UGGUGGAGUGAUUUGUCUGGUUAAUUCCGUUAACGAACGAGACCUCGACCUGCUGAACAGUGAGCAUUCCUCCGGGAGUGACUUGCUUCUUAGAGGGACUGUCGGAUUUUUAGCCGAAGGAAGUUCGAGGCAAUAACA
rnacentral:rRNA from 1 species